rnacentral:rRNA from 1 species
AUUGAACGCUGGCGGCAGGCCUAACACAUGCAAGUCGACCGAGCGGCGGACGGGUGAGUAAUGUCUGGGAAACUGCCUGAUGGAGGGGGAUAACUACUGGAAACGGUAGCUAAUACCGCAUACCAUCGGAUGUGCCCAGAUGGGAUUAGCUAGUAGGUGGGGUAAAGGCUCACCUAGGCGACGAUCCCUAGCUGGUCUGAGAGGAUGACCAGCCAGACUGGAAAUGAGACACGGUCCAGACGCCGACGGGAGGCAGCAGUGGGGAAUAUUGCACAAUGGGCGCAAGCCUGAUGCAGCCAUGCCGCGUGUAUGAAGAAGGCCUUCGGGUUGUAAAGUACUUUCAGCGGGGAGGCGUUACUCGCAGAAGAAGCACCGGCUAACUCCGUGCCAGCAGCCGCGGUAAUUC